UGGAUAUUAGUUAAUAUUUAUAACAUUUAAAUUGCAUUUAAAAAUUAAUAAUAAUAUAUUAUAUCUAA